rnacentral:lncRNA from 1 species
UAGGCCUGGGCCCGUGCAAACUUGGAUGGCACGACUUGUGAAGGAAGAUUUGUGAAAAACAUGUUCAUUUAAGCAACAUCUAUAAGCAUGCAAUUAACAAUUAAAGGCGGAAUCAUGCUUGUAUGCACUUAUAAACAAAACAUUAACCAUGAAAUUCAAAGCCUAGUAGAUUGGUGAACCAAGACUCAACUCAAAUCAAAGUGAGUUAAGAAAUUAUACCUUUGUAGAUUCCUCUUUGCAUAAGCAAAGGCUAAUCACCCAAAGAGAGGGCCUUCAUUCCUUGCAUCUUAGAUCUAUGGAUUUGGAUGGAUGAAAUGGUUCUCCAAGUUCCCAAAAUUGAAAACCUCUAAGUCUCCACACCAAGGUAGAUUGGAUGAAGAAAUGAGUGACCUUGGAGUAGAAAGGAUAGAUCUAGCUAAUCCCUCCAAGGGGGCCGGCCUCUUUAGAGAGAAAGGGAGAGACAUGUUCUCUCCCAAUUUUCUCCAAAAAGAAACCCUUAAAUGAAUUUUGGCUAUAAAGUCAUAUUUAUACCUUAAUUUCAUUGGAGUGGCAAACUUGUAAAUAAGUCCAAAACCCACUCCAUCUCUAAAUGGCCGGCCAAAGGGUUUUUUGGGCUUUUGGGCCUUUGUGAAUCUAUUAUUCAUUAAGUUGUCAUACAACUUAAGUCAAUGGGCUUGACGUUCGAAGCCCAUUGGGCCUUAAGGUCCAAAACUAUCCCGAGGUCUUUUAACGAACUUAUUCGUUUGAUUAAUUAACAUAUUAAUUAAUCCUUGCCAUAAAUAAUUAAACCAUUUAAUUAUUCUUACUCAUCUCCAUUGUUUCUUCAAUCUCCACCUUACACGGUGUACGAUCCAUUAGGUUCCUUUUAGCGAGGCAGUGGGCGAUUAAAAACCAUUUCAAAUCGAUUGUGAAUUGAAACUUACUUUCAAUUCUCCCUUUAGUGAUUAUACACGUUUAGGGCUUCCACAAACCAUGAGUGACACCUAGCAGCAUAUCAUGGUUACCCAAGCUAAUCAGAAGAGGUGGAGAACCUAUUCAGUUUAGGAUUACAAAUGCAAUACGGUCUUUCUCUAAUACAAUACUCUUGACCACAUUGUUUGGUUUGAUAGUUUAUUUAUUCAUGUCUACUAUCCAAUGUGAUUCGUGUGCUUAUAUGAUUACCUUGAAUGUGAUUUGGAACGACUUCCUAAAUCUCAUUCAUACUCUGGCCAGAGAUUCUUAAAUCAUAUCAUAGAGUAUUCUCCCCUCAAACGGUUUGAAGGUUAGAGAUCCCUUGUUGCGCAUUCACUUGCCUCCAUGGCUAAGUGGCUUAACCCCAACGAUGCCGUGGACACCCUCCUUUGGAGUGACUUUGACAUAAUCAAAGAUCAAGGACUUAACCACAAGACAACUAUGAUGCCUCAGGUCAAAGGACUACUUUGCAUUAUCCCAACCAUGAGUUCUCAUGUGACAUGAAUAUGAGAACUCUUCGUUGAUCGUGUUCAGUGAACUCAUUCUCUAUUGAGCACCUACGUACUUGUCUUGAUGUCACACACACCAAUGACUCGAGACUAGUCACUCUCCCUGAGAGAAGACACAGCACGUACUGAUCUUAACGGACUGUCAAUGCCCAAUUGGCAAUCCUAUGAUCAGGAACGUUUAGGAUGUGUCUACGAAAGAAUGGUCUCAUGAAUCUAACUUCUUUAGAUUGCAUUCUCCCAAUCACAUAUUCCUUGGACUUUAUCGUUUAAGCAUAUAACAUUUAUAUGAGACGGCUCAAAAACAAUAAUCUUUGCCCUUUAUAUUUUAAACUAGAUUAGUUUAACAUGUGAAAUGUCCGUAAGUAUCAUCAUAUGAUUGGUUUUAGGGCACAUUUCCAACAAUCUCCCACUUGCACUAGAGCCAAUCAGCUUGGUCAUCAGUGAUGAUACCUCUUCUGUAGUCAUUUCAUAAAUGGCUGAAUAGUAGGCCUAGACAAUGGAUAUCUAUAUGUUAUCCAUAGAAGCAACCUUGAGAAUAACGACGUCACCAUUAUACAUGAUUCUCAAUCAUGUGGUUCAGUCUCUCAUUUGAGUUCGGAUCUUGAUGAGACCUUGAUUCCCUGGCUUGAGCUAUCGCCCCAUUAGUGUCGUAGUGUCGGUACACUAGAGACACUUUCUGGUUGGAACCGAAUAGAGAGUUCAUAAAUGAACUUUCCCAUCCAAACAACAUUGUUGUAAGCUUCUAUAUGGCAAUAUAUAUUUUGCAUUCAUAAUGGAACACACUAAAGUCAUUACUUUUAAUGUUUCCAUCCAAAUAUCUCUUUAGUCAUAAUAAAGAGAUAUCUGUUUAUCUCUUCAUUCAUAAUGAAGAAACAUCCAAUGAUGGAUUAGAUUCAUAAUCUAAUACAUUUACGCUUCCAUUACGUUACUCUAAUUCUUCCUCAUUCUUUGAGGAAUCUAUCCUUUAGUAUUUCUUAAAUACUUAAGGACUCACUUGACAGUUGCCAUGGUUCUGAUCCUGGGCUUGCACUGAUAUCGUCUUGUACCGUUCUAGGUACAACUCAUAUCAAUGUUUUUCAUACAAUAUGAAAUACAUAAAUCACCUUUCUGCGUAUGCAUAAAGGAUUCUAUUUACGCAUUAUUUCUUUGGGAGUCAAAGGGUACGUUCCCUUUUGAGAAGAGGCAACUUGCUAGUCUCACUAGAGUUGUCCUUCUAAUUGAAGUUUAUCAUCAUAUGAGAAACUUCCUAGCAUCUUAUUGUCUAUUAUUAGGGAUUGAUAUAAUCCAAUUAUAUCAUGAAAUAUAUCAUUAUAGAUUUCCAUCCCAUGUAUAUAGACUAUAUCUCCCAUAUACAUUCUAUCUUCAUAUAAUGUUUUAAAGUCAUAACUUUAACGAAGAAGUAUUCUUUUCAUUUCCAAAAUUAAUAUAUCAUAUAUAUAUAUUUUAAAUUUUUAGGAACAUGAUUAACUCCCACUAAUCUUUUGUAAACCUAGUAAACAAAAGAUUCAUUUACAUCUUUAUGAGAAAUCAAACGAUUUGAUCCUUUUUCUCAUAAGAUGCUCAUAAUAGCUCCCACUAGCUUGCUAAGAUUCCAUGAUGGAUGGAUCUCUACAACUUACAUGUCUUGUGAUUCAUAGUUUUAGACAUAUAUUAUCAAGACUAUCUUAAUAAUGGUUUCGGAAACCCAUAUUAUGUCCAAACAUUGAAUCACCAUUUAGUUGUAGCUAGCAAUCUUCGAAUUAAUUGAAACCAAGACUACGUCAAAGAUGGUUUCUUCAAAGUCAACCAUUCUCUUUUGAUUGUAGUCACCUUAAGCUACCAAUUAGCUUAUGAAGGUUUCAUUAUUUCGGGUCAAAUGGUACUUUACCAUUUCCUUGAGUAUAUAUCGUAUAUACACUCAAUGUAGUCAUAAGGAUUUUCAUUCUUAUUUCUUUCGAAUUAAGAGGUGCAACUCUAUGACAUAGUCAUAAAGUUCAAACCAUUCAACUGAGACGGUUUAUAAAUCCUUCUCGACUACCUUGGAGCUUGUGGUAUAGGAACUAGGUUGUUAUAUUUUGUUGAUUACUAUCUUGUCUCUCAAAGAACCCAUUCUUUGAGUUCUAUCUCUCGUUCAUUUGCUCUUAGGCAAAUCACAUUGUAGGAUUACAAUGAACUACCCAACAAAACAACAUUUGUUAGUUGGUUUAUAGAAGCGAUAUCCAAAAGUUAAUUUAAGGAUAUCCUACAAGAUUGUUAUCAAACAAAUAUUGCUUAUUAGCACACAACCCCAAAUCUUAACAUGCUUGAGAUUUGUCUUUCUUUCCAACUACAUCUUAUGGAGUCAUGAAAAUUUUGGAAGAUCUUCUAAUUGACAAUCAUAUUGUCUUAGAAGUAUAUAUCCUAUAUAUAUGGGUAAUAGAUAACAUCUAACGAACUCAAUCUUAUUCAAGUUCGUUCUUCUCCUAAUGGAGAAAUUCAUUAUCUUAUGAUGCUUCUUUCCUUGAUAUCUUUCAAGGAAACUCAUCUAAAGUGUUACCUUUCCUUGGAUCAAAUCUAAGGAGGUAAAUACUUUAGACGUCUUACUCAUCAACUUACAUUUCUUGAAUUCUUUGAAACAUUUUGCAAAGUAUUCGGACUUGUGUUUAUUCAAAAUAAACUAUAGUCCAACCGAGAGUGAUCUUCGGUGAAUGUCAUAUAAUAUGAGUAGUAUUAUGUUUGUGGACAAGUGCCACUAACAUUUAAGUGAAUUAACCUCAACAACUUUGUGAUUCUUUCUUCUUUCCAAAAGAAUAAAGAUUCGAACAUUUCGCCUCUAUACAAUUUUAACAAGAAGGUAUUGGAUCCGGAUCUAACGAUCCAAAGCAUCCAUCUAUGACCAACUCGUAAUUUAUGUUUUAGAGAUUAAACUUUAGUUGGGAUUAGUCACUACCUUGCAACCUUUUGGGUUUUAAGCAUCAUUGUAUUCUAAACAGUUAACACUACCAUAUCAUCUCUACUAUAGAGACAAUCAAUUAGAUUACUAUAAUCCAAUCAUUGAUUAAUAAAGAACAAUGUUUUGUCAAACAAAACAUUCAUCCAUCUCUACUAUAGUGACGGAAUUAAGUUCCUUAAAAUUGGAAUGUAAAGACAAUCUUUGGUUUUUCCAAUUUCUUUGGUAGUUCAUAUGAGGAAGUAAGUACUCUGCUUUCGCAGAGAUCUAUAUUUUAUUCACGUUCCGAAUGUGAAGCACCUUUUCUUCUCUCAUAUAUUCUUCUACUUCUUAUUAGUCACACUUUUACAACGAUUGUAAAACAUAGUUACUAAUACGGAAUCAAGCAUUCAAGUAGAAGAACCAACUGUUUUGAACUAUUCAAGAACAAUUUACAACACCUUCGAAAGGUGUGUUCUUGACACUUGCAAGACAUUUCUUGCAAAUACCCCUUCCAAUGUCCAUCCUUUCAUAAAGAAAGUUUGUUCCCUUGGAGUUAAUUUUAUCUUCUUCAUUUGACUUCUCCUUUGACUACAAUAGUCAUGGUCCCUAAACUCCCACUAUCUCUCUUGAAACUUAUUUCAAUUGUGUUAUACACAUCAAACAUUUUGGAGAGCAUGUGGUUAUUGUUCACUACAUAGUUUACAAUAAACUUAGUGAACCAUUAGGAUAGGGACACAAAGGUGAAGUCCUUGCCUAGUUUCCGUCUCGUUAGAAGUGGUUUAACACUUCAACACUCAAUGAUUCAAAAUCAUCAUAAGUCCAUGUUGAAUGGACUAUUUUUGUCAACCAACCAUUAUGUUCUAAACAUAAUUACAAACUUUCAAGAGUUGUUCAAGGCAACUCUCAUUUCUUCAUACAACAAUUUGUAAGUGAAGAAUCAUGGCACAUAAAGUGUCCAUGCCUUUGUGCUUUCUUCUCAAGUUCUUUGUUCAUUUAACAAAGAAACAAGCACUAAGUGUUUGCAUUGACUAAGGGUUGUUCAAAGCAACUCUUAUUUCUUCAUACAACAAUUUGUAAUUGAAGAAUUAUGACAUUAAAAGUGUUGUCCUCUUUAUGAUAGACUUUUCUAACAUGUUCUUCUAAUGAUACAUUAUCAAUAGGAAGAUUGUGAGGAUGAGACUACUUAGGUACAUAUUACAAUCCAUUUAAGACAAUCUUUGGGAUUUGUGGUACCAAGUCCGGAAACUAAAAGCAUUCGGCUUUUAUUUGUCAAGUGUUGGAUAGCGUUUGCAAAUAUAUUGGUAAACAAAUACAUAACGAAUAUAAAUUGAUUGAUUUUAAGCCAUUUGAUUCGGGUCUUUAAAUCAAAUAGCACCACCCACUAUUUUUGGCAAAUUCCAUAUCCCUCAUUGGAAUUCGAGAGUUUUGGAUGAAACUCUUAGUAGGGUUAUGGGAGACUCACUAUUACCAAGCCCACCUCACAAUGAUAUGAUAUUGGCUAGCAUUAAUAAUAAUGAGAGAGUACGCUUACUCAUUUGCAACUCUUGCAAGUACCCAUCUUAUUUGGCCUCUAGAGAAUGUAACCUCACAAUGAUAUGAUAUUGGCUCCAUUGCACUUAGUUAAGUCAUUCCCACCAUGCUUAGUUCAGUGUAGGGGUUCAAGAAUAACCUCACAAUGAUAUGAUAUUGAUCAUUCUCGUUGCCUACCUUUCACAACAUCAAGUAUGUAUAUAGGACUCCUCCUGAGUAUAAGCAUGCACUUUGUACUCCCCCAUGAUAGGGUGAAGCCGGUGUACAAGUCAUAAAACGAUUGGAGCCUACCACGGUGGAAGGCCACGAAAGAGUGUUCAAAGCACUCUCACGCUUAUCAACUUAAUAAUGGUUUGGUUGAGGGUUUUAGGUCUCAUCACAUAUAAACAUACAUUUUAAUCUCUAUUAAAACAAUUUUGGUCCUAUUACAACUAUUGGUCCAUUUGAUUGUUUUAGUUGUAUAUAAUACUCCCACUAUGCUUAUAAAACGGUUUUUAAAGCAAGAGUAUAUGAUACUACUAACAUAAACUUUGCAUUCAUUUGAUGGACUAUAUAGUUGCCUUAGGGCCUUAGGAUGACUAUGAACCUUUGUUUAGAUUCAACACGAGCCUUGUGUUGAAUCUCGGUCUAGGGAUGGUGAUUGAUUUUAGUUACGCGUUUAAUCACAUUAAGGCGUGUUGUCUUAGGGGCGUUGGACCCAACUACUUCAUUUUCAUGCAUAUCAAAUAAAGCAAGAAAAGAGUACUUCAAAGUAAAGGUGAGCUUAUGCUCUUUUACAACAUUUGCAUAAAACAAAUUACUUUAAAGUAAAGAAGAGCUUAUGCUCCUUUUACAACAUUUGAUCAAAUCAAAUUACAACCAAAAUCUAAUCUACACAUUCCCAUGGUUCAAACAAAUUUGAAACGGCCUUUCACAUAGCUCAAUUAUAUUAGGCUUAGGUUCAUAAUCACCCUUUAAUUAAUUAACACUUUAACUAAUUAAAUUGAAUGCAACAUUUUCAUUUGGUUUUUGUAUCCAUAAAAUUGAUUUAAAUGGAGCUAAAUGAAAAUGAAAAUCCAAUUCUCAUUUAAAGAGACAAAACAAUUUUGUUCUCAACCUAAUUUGGGCCAAUCAUGCAAUUAACCACAACUUUUGGGCUAUAUUGCAAAAAAACAUAAACUUUUGGGGUCACUUUGUAAAAACACAAAAGUCCACUACUUCAUGUAAUUACAACUAGAACCCAAAAUUUAAACAAUGCAAAAACUUCAUUAAAGGAGCAAAACAAUUUGUCCUUUAGCGUUUUUGGACCUAAACGUAAAAACGUAAACUUUUGGGUCCAAAGUGCAAAUACACAAAAGUAUCAAAACUUUAUGUAAUUGCAUAAAAGCCCCAAAAGUACCCCACUUGAGGGAGGGCCGGUUUUGGAGAAUGAGUCCACAAAAAAAUUUGAAAAUUUUUCAACAAAGUCAUAAAGCCAUGCAAGUUGAAAUUGUUUGGUUGGGAACAUGUGUGUAAGAAAAGAAAAACAAUUUUAUGACAUAAAUUAAACACUCUUUACAACAUUUUCCAUCACCUUUUCAAAUAAAAUGUUUUUGAUUGAUGAAAAAUCACAAACCAACAUUUAAAACAUAAACUUUAUGAAAUAAAUCAAAACUUUGAAUCAAAACACAAAACCUUUUUGUUCUUGGCAAAAAUGUCAAGAACAAUGAAGAACAUUCAUGAAAAACCCAAAAAAUUUCCAUGAACAUUUUUCACCCAAAAACAUCCCAAAACCAUUCAAACUUUAAGGGAAAUAACAUAUAACCAAACUAGGGUACAUAGGGGUUCCAAAAGUCACUUGAAAACACUUUUAACAAGUCAAACAAGAACCCAAAAAUCCACCCUUUGGAUUUGGCCGAAAAUUUCCCAAAAACAUGGCACCAAAUUUUAGCUCCAAUAUUCAUGCUCAUAUGAACUACAUCUACAACAUUUGAGAUGGCAAAUUUUCUAACAAAAUUUACAUUCAAAGAAACAAGAAUAAAGCUUGUAACAUAUUACAACUUUUAAAUCACAAACUAUGAACUACAAAACCCAAAAGGAUUCACCAACUACUAGACCUAGGCUCUGAUACCACUUGAAGGAAAUUUUGUGAAAAACAUGUUCAUUUAAGCAACAUCUAUAAGCAUGCAAUUAACAAUUAAAGGCGGAAUCAUGCUUGCAUGCACUUAAAAACAAAACAUUAACCAUGAAAUUCAAAGCCUAGUAGAUUGGUGAACCAAGACUCAACUCAAAACAAAGUGAGUUGAGAAAUUAUACCUUUGUAGAUUCCUCUUUGCAUAAGCAAAGGCUAAUCACCCAAAGAGAGAGGGCCUUCAUUCCUUGCAUUCUUAGAUCUAUGGAUUUGGAUGGAAGAAAUAGGUUCUCCAAGUUCCCAAAAUUGAGAACCUCUAAGUCUCUUCACACCAAGGUUAAGAUUGGAGAAGAAAUGAGUGACCUUGGAGUAGUAGGAUUGCUAGCUAAUCCCUCCAAGGGGGCCGGCCUCUUUAGAGAGAAAGGGAGAGACAUGUUUCUCACCAAUUUUCUCCAAAAAGAAACCCUUAAAUGAAUUUUGGCUAUAAAGUCAUAUUUAUACCUUAAUUCAUUGGAGUGGCAAACUUGUAAAUA